GUCAUUCAUAUAAGCUAUAGGUCACCCUGUUUUGUAAAUGCCAAUGUUGUCAGAGAAAGGUAAUUAAGCUAUCACUAAGAACAUUGUUUUAUUUGAGAUUAGAAUUAAUUAAUGUCAAAACAUUGAAACUUAAACUAUUUAAAUUUUGCAGGUAUUGCAGAGUGUUGUUUUUCAGACAGGUCAGUGUUGUCAUCUAAAUGGUAUGUUAUUAGUGCCUGGUUUGCAUCCAUUAUUGAGCAACUGUUUCACAUGCAUCCAUUAUUAAGUAUGCUAAGGAAAUCCUUCAAUAGGAGAUGUUUCCACAUGUUGGUAUUGGAGAGUAUUGCGAGAUAAAAAAUGCGUACUAUUUUGGAUAUAUCAUUCACCGGGCUACUACCGUGUGCACUUGGGCGGAGGGCUGAAGAUACGGAAACAAGAGGCUGGACCUGGCAGGCCCUUUGCUUGGUGGUCUCUUUAGAGGGGUUUGUUUCUCAAAUAAUUGAUAUGAUUUUACUUUCUUGGUCUUGUUAUUUCUUAAUUUCUGGUUCUUAAUUUCUUGGUGUUGCAAUGCAUUGGAAAAUAUACCUAUACUACUACAAGAAUCAAAUUGCAGCAUGCAGGUAAAGAAGCUCUACACCCAAAGGGAAGAUUAAAUCAAAUAGUAUAUAAAGAUCUAAAGGGAGAGUGACAUAGUUAAAUUGGAAGAGAUUGUCCACGUUGCACUCAUGUUUAGACAUUUUAGGUGACUGUUGAUUUUUUUGAUUUUUUGUGGAAUUGAAUUUGCCACUAAACAUUAGUAGUAAGGCACCACAGGAAAUUUUAUGAAUCUUGUGACAUUAGUACUAAGGUUUUUUUCUUGUACCAAAGAUCAGCUAUUUGAAACCAGCGAUGUCAUACAUACAUGC